rnacentral:rRNA from 1 species
UACGUAGGCAGCGAGCGUUGUUCGGAGUUACUGGGCGUAAAGAGUGCGUAGGCGGAUUGCUAAGUCAGGGGUGAAAUCCUGGAGCUCAACUCCAGAACUGCCCUUGAUACUGGCGGUCUCGAGUCCGGGAGAGGUGAGUGGAACUGCGAGUGUAGAGGUGAAAUUCGUAGAUAUUCGCAAGAACACCAGUGGCGAAGGCGGCUCACUGGCCCGGUACUGACGCUGAGGUGCGAAAGCGUGGGGAGCAAACAGG